rnacentral:lncRNA from 1 species
GGUCUAUGGUUGCAGCUUUUAGGAGGCCACGGCUUUUACUCCCAACAGGCCCACUGAGACUAAUGGGGCCACACUACUGGGAGGGGGCAGUGUUUCUCAAAGCAUGGUCUUUAGACCGUCUGAGUGAGAAACCCCGGGGCAAUGAUUUCGCUGGUUCCCAGUCAGAUCUGCCACUGCCGAAUCUGUGAUGAGGCCCAGAAAGCUCCUGACAGACGGUGCCUCUGUGUGCAGCAACAGGAGACCACGGCGGUCUCACCUGGAAACUCUUCCACAGUUGUCAUUUCAGCAGCGCUCCACAAGUGAUGGAGUUGACUCCCAUCAGAGCCCUCCUGGACAUGAACUCCUGAGUGCCAGAAACAAGAUUCAUUUAAAGAUACAACUGUGAACGCUGCUGACCACAUUCCAGCGCAGUGUGGAUGUUCAACACCGAAGGGAGGGGACUCGGGCUUGGAUCUGCAGCUAGCAUUGGAUGGACACAGAAUCCUGAACUAUGCAUCGUGCUUUAGCUGCCAUGAAAAUUGAUUUUUUUUUUUUUCAGAAAGGAAUGUGCCAAUGAUGGGACUUAAGCUGGUGAAAACCACGUGGAACGGGAUGCUCAUGGGACCUGCCCCUUGGAGCUCCAGGCCUCCAGGCCUCAGUGCUGGUUUUCCUAAGUCCUUAUUUUCUCCCGUGUUUGGCUGGGGGCUGGUCCGACUUCUCCCUUUGGUGGACUCUCAGUUGUCAAGUGUGAAGUCUUUGAACUGCACACAAGAGUGGGGACAACGUUUCUAUCUGCAAAUCAAGCAAGCGCUUGGGCGAACAUCUUCCCAAGGCAGAGAUGAAGAAUGGGUACUCUAGGAUGCUCCAUUUUGGGACAAACGUCUAGUGGGGCCACAUUUGCAUGGCAACAUGCCAUUUCCACUUUUUCCGUAUUUAGAAGCUUCCCAUGGAGCUCCCGCUGACAGGAGCCACUCAUGUGCACACUGAGUGGAGGCUCAGAAGGAGGAUUUGUCGUAGAGUUGUUUUUCAGAGGCUGGGAGUCAGGGCUGAGGGCCAGCGGGUGGCUCUGCACCCCCAUCCCUCCAUCCCCUGUGGAAUGCCAGGAGUUCUCUUCUCCGUCCCUCAUGCGUGAUGGGGGACAAAUGUCUCCUCACCGGUGACAAUAAUGACAGGCUUCUGUCCAGAGGCAGGAGGGGGGCCAGUAUCAUGCACUGAAGAAACUUUCACAGCACAGUUGUCUGAGACAGGGAAACCCACACGCAGACGGCCAGGGGACCUUGACCUCCUUAGCAAACAGGAAACAAAGUGCUCUUGUUCUCAGGCCGGAAUGAAGCGGCUGUGCGAACACAUCCCAAUUGUACAUCUGAUGCUGACUCACACAGAGCGUUUCCAUUUUUAGAUUUCAGCUACAGAAGGCAGGAAUCCUUUGGACUUGGCCCUUUAUCAGUGGAAUGGACAGAGCAGCUCUCGGUGGGGUCUCUGUUGGGAAUGCCUGCUGAGACGGGACCAAGGACGGCUGCAGGAUGUGGUGUCUGUGCUCAGCGUCACCUCCUCCCAGGCUCCUGGGAAGCACCUGAGCAUCUCCUGACAAAGCCACCAUGAGCAAGACCCUCAGAGAAGGUAUGAAGAUGAGAGGCUGGUGUGAAGAGGCUGCUGUGAAGCAACUAUAUAGCAUCGGGCAGGACAUAAGGGGAAAUUGUUGCUUUCAUGUUCCUUUACCCCCACAGUUUGGAUUUCUGCCACAAGGAUCACUGUGGUCUUCCUCCCUGGGGCUCACUCCACCUACCCCACACCUCCCACCUCCCCCGUCCUCUCUUGGGGGACUUCCUGAGUUCUCGACAGAGCAGUUUCACUGUCUUCUCUCCACGCUUCCUGGACUGGCCCGCCCAUUUUUUUCUAUGACCCAGAAUUCCUUCCCAAAUAAGAGCGUCAUAUUCCUUGAGCCCCUUCACUAGAAGCAAGGAGAUGGGCAGGCGUUGAACUGCGGCUUUUCUCUAGACUCUUCCCUAAUCCCUAGGUUCCCCCAACUAUUUAGUCUAGAGCAAGCCCAGGAACAGUGAUUUUUUUUUUUUAACCUGCCAUUUCUGUUAUUCAAGCUGUUUUAGUCAGUUCAGGCUGCUGUAACAAAAAUGCAAUGGCCUGGGUGGUUUUAACAACAGAAAUGGAUUUCUCACAGUUCUUGUGAGGCUGGGACGCAGGAACCCCCACAUCCAAGUGCCAGGCAGUUCCGUGGCUGGGAGGGCUCCAGACUGGUGUGUGGAUGGCACCUUCUGCUGUGUCCUCACAUGGCUGAGAGAUGGGUCAUCUCUGUUCUUAUCAGGGCACUAAUCCCAUUCACAAGGCCCCCCAUGACCUAAUCACCUCCUAAAUGCCCCGCUUCCUAAUACCAGCACCUUGGAAAAUAGGGCUUCAAGAUACAAAUUUUGGGGGACUCAAACAUUCCAUCCAUAGCACCCGCUCAUGUGCUGUGAUGUCCAGUGAGCAGGCGGAGUUCCAGGGCUGGUCAGUGCCAGGUGCUCCUUCUCCCACCCGAGAACAGGGGCCAGGUUGCUCCUCAGGCACCCUGGGCAACUGCCCCUUCCCUUCCAGUGGGGCCUGACCUGGCUACCGAGCUUGGCAGCUAAUAGGCGGGCCCCUCAGCAUUCACGCUCCUGAGCUGCUUUAUCAAACUAGGAUUGUUCCCCCAGGUCUAAGAAAACCAUCCAUUCACUGCAAAGUUAUUUAUUACUGCGGAUGGGCUAGGAGUUAGAGGAAGAGAGUGACUCAAAUCACAACACCUCCUGGACGAAGCUGGAAGGGAUUAAAAUACGGCCUAAUUUCUCCCUUGCUGUGUGAAGCGUGUGGUUCUCCUAGAACAUCAGCCCGACUGUCGCUGGGUAGCGGCGGUACUGUUCAUUCUGCAUUAGCUUUGUCCAGAUUGUUCAGUGUGGGUCCCUGCCUACAGAUCUUGAUUCCUUGAGAUUGCCCUUUGUGCUUCUGUCUGGGGACUGCCUGUUUCUGUAAUGGCCACCGUCUCAGAACACAUGGUUGUAGGCCUCAGCAUUUGCCUUACACACAGCCCCCUUGGAGACAAACCGUGUCUGUGUCCCUCAGAAGGCCCUGACUUUCAGGGCACACUCCAGCCUGACUUUGGCACUCUGCUAGACACAUCCGAAACGCUGGUUCUCGUGUUGAAGUCUGUUAUGGAUAUGUAGGGUAAGGCAGGGAAACUGGAGCGCCUGCAUACCCUUGACUUCCUCCAUUUGGAAAAGAUAACCCUGAGACAUGGUGGAGGAGAAGGGGCCCUGACCUGUCAGCUACAUCUGGAUGUAACUCCCCUGAUGAAGAAAGUGCCAGAGGCAGCAAAGCAGCCCUUAUAGGGUAUUUUGUGCUCCCCCAACAGAGGAAGAGGAGCUUAGGGUCUCCAGGGAGAAUGUCUGGUUGUGAAGAGCCGCCAGGACCUGGAGCUGCACGGUUGCUCAGUGUGCAUUUCACUUGGUCAGCCCCUACGCUGGAGAGUGCUUGCAUCCGAACCUUCAGUGCCUGGAUAGACACUGAGCUGAGCGAACGGUAUGCUGGAAAAUGAAGCGUGCAAGUGACAAAGUGCUCAACUUAGACUCUGGGCAAAAUUCUCACAAAGGGCUUUCUAAUCCUCACUUAAUGGAAGAGUGGAGCAAUUUCCAGCAGAAGUUGUGGCUUGCUUCACCAGGUCUGCUCAGGUCAGCGGGGUGAGCCUACGGCCAGGAUGGGUGGUAAUUAAUAUUGGAAUACUUGGCCAGUCUGCAGACCUCAGACCACAAAAAACCCUCCAUCCUCAAGCAGUCUCUUCUUUAUGCCUCGCAAGGGGAAGAUAAUUAAAGACUGUGGUAACGGGUUAAUUUAUAGGAAAAUAAUGUAGCAUACUCAACU